rnacentral:rRNA from 1 species
UACGGAGGAUGCAAGCGUUAUCCGGAUUUAUUGGGCGUAAAGCGUCCGCAGGUGGCUAUUCAAGUCUGCUGUCAAAGCUCGGAGCUUAACUCCGAAUCGGCGGUGGAAACUGAACAGCUAGAGUGCAGUAGGGGUAGAGGGAAUUCCCAGUGUAGCGGUGAAAUGCGUAGAGAUUGGGAAGAACACCGGUGGCGAAAGCGCUCUACUGGACUAGCAACUGACACUCAGGGACGAAAGCUAGGGGAGCGAAUGGG